rnacentral:rRNA from 1 species
CCAAGGAGUNUAACAUGUGCGCGAGUCGCAGGGUGCUCGCAAAAUAAAAAAGAAACGAAACCCGAAGGCGCAAUGAAAGUGAAGGUCGGCGGUUCUGGCUGACCGAGGCGGGAUCCGUCCGGGCAUCGAUCGCGAAAAAAGAUGGGGGGGGCAACCCUUCUGUUUUUUUUUCGCGGUGAGCCCGGCGGCGCACCGCCGGCCCGUCUCGACCGCUUUAUUGUCGGCGAGGCGGAGCAAGAGCGCACACGUUGGGACCCGAAAGAUGGUGAACUAUGCUCGGGCAGGACGAAGCCAGAGGAAACUCUGGUGGAGGUCCGUAGCGAUUCUGACGUGCAAAUCGAUCGUCGGACCCGUGUAUAGGGGCNAAANACUAAUCNAACCGUCUA